CACACAACUCUCUUUGAACACUCUUCAUUCACAUUACAGAAGUGAAGCUGUCCAGGCUACUGGACAAAACCAAGGACUGCCAGAAAGUAAAGACGUGGAUGCGAGCCAUCAGAAACCACAUCUAUUGGACGGCGGCAUCGUCAACAACUGGGCCGGAGAGAGUGACAAAAUGGACCACCCUCCUGAACCAUGUUCAGGAUAUUCAUACUCACGAUGACCCCCUCUUCCCAAAAUGUCUACAUCCAAUUCGCAGCACAACAGACAAAAGUAGAUGGCUCUCAGGAGGAAUGUAUGAUAUUUUUGUCUUUCAGCAACUCCUGCAUUCUACAAGCUGGAGAAAGCGCUGACCAAGAAGACAGUCCUGAGGGAUAUAGCAAAGCUCAGUCCCCACCACCAGACGUCCUCUUUGGAGGCAUUCCACGCCGUGAUCCUGUGGUUCGCUCCUAAAAAUGUGGUAGAUCCAUUUCUAGGAAUGCUGUGCAGACUCUACCUGGCUGCACUGCAUUACAAUGAGAAUUCUGAUAGAGGACAAGCCACUACGUCAUCAGGGGAUCUUAUGUUCAGACUGACCUUUCCUAAGGCCAGUAAGGGAGAGUGCAGAGCCAAACCAGUGAAGACUGAGGCGACAUUCCGUAAGUGUCAACUUUUUUUUUUAUUCAGAAAAUAAACAUUAUAUUGAACAUGAGACAAAGUACUGCAACUCGGGUA